rnacentral:rRNA from 1 species
UGCAAGUCGAGCGAACGGACGAGAAGCUUGCUUCUCUGAUGUUAGCGGCGGACGGGUGAGUAACACGUGGAUAACCUACCUAUAAGACUGGGAUAACUUCGGGAAACCGGAGCUAAUACCGGAUAAUAUUUUGAACCGCAUGGUUCAAAAGUGAAAGACGGUCUUGCUGUCACUUAUAGAUGGAUCCGCGCUGCAUUAGCUAGUUGGUAAGGUAACGGCUUACCAAGGCAACGAUGCAUAGCCGACCUGAGAGGGUGAUCGGCCACACUGGAACUGAGACACGGUCCAGACUCCUACGGGAGGCAGCAGUAGGGAAUCUUCCGCAAUGGGCGAAAGCCUGACGGAGCAACGCCGCGUGAGUGAUGAAGGUCUUCGGAUCGUAAAACUCUGUUAUUAGGGAAGAACAUAUGUGUAAGUAACUGUGCACAUCUUGACGGUACCUAAUCAGAAAGCCACGGCUAACUACGUGCCAGCAGCCGCGGUAAUACGUAGGUGGCAAGCGUUAUCCGGAAUUAUUGGGCGUAAAGCGCGCGUAGGCGGUUUUUUAAGUCUGAUGUGAAAGCCCACGGCUCAACCGUGGAGGGUCAUUGGAAACUGGAAAACUUGAGUGCAGAAGAGGAAAGUGGAAUUCCAUGUGUAGCGGUGAAAUGCGCAGAGAUAUGGAGGAACACCAGUGGCGAAGGCGACUUUCUGGUCUGUAACUGACGCUGAUGUGCGAAAGCGUGGGGAUCAAACAGGAUUAGAUACCCUGGUAGUCCACGCCGUAAACGAUGAGUGCUAAGUGUUAGGGGGUUUCCGCCCCUUAGUGCUGCAGCUAACGCAUUAAGCACUCCGCCUGGGGAGUACGACCGCAAGGUUGAAACUCAAAGGAAUUGACGGGGACCCGCACAAGCGGUGGAGCAUGUGGUUUAAUUCGAAGCAACGCGAAGAACCUUACCAAAUCUUGACAUCCUUUGACAACUCUAGAGAUAGAGCCUUCCCCUUCGGGGGACAAAGUGACAGGUGGUGCAUGGUUGUCGUCAGCUCGUGUCGUGAGAUGUUGGGUUAAGUCCCGCAACGAGCGCAACCCUUAAGCUUAGUUGCCAUCAUUAAGUUGGGCACUCUAAGUUGACUGCCGGUGACAAACCGGAGGAAGGUGGGGAUGACGUCAAAUCAUCAUGCCCCUUAUGAUUUGGGCUACACACGUGCUACAAUGGACAAUACAAAGGGCAGCGAAACCGCGAGGUCAAGCAAAUCCCAUAAAGUUGUUCUCAGUUCGGAUUGUAGUCUGCAACUCGACUACAUGAAGCUGGAAUCGCUAGUAAUCGUAGAUCAGCAUGCUACGGUGAAUACGUUCCCGGGUCUUGUACACACCGCCCGUCACACCACGAGAGUUUGUAACACCCGAAGCCGGUGGAGUAACCUUUUAGGAGCUAGCCGUCGAAGGUGGGACAAAUGAUUGGGGUGAAGUCGUAA